ensembl:snoRNA small nucleolar RNA, C/D box 72
AGCUUACCAGUGAUGUCUAAAAAUAAAUGUCUGAACAAAUGACUGUCCAGUGAUAACAGGUUUGAACUGAGGUAAGCC